rnacentral:rRNA from 1 species
GACGAACGCUGGCGGCGUGCUUAACACAUGCAAGUCGAACGGAAAGGCCCUGCUUGCAGGGUACUCGAGUGGCGAACGGGUGAGUAACACGUGGGUGAUCUGCCCUGCACUUCGGGAUAAGCCUGGGAAACUGGGUCUAAUACCGGAUAGGAGCCAUUUUUAGUGUGAUGGUUGGAAAGUUUUUUCGGUGUAGGAUGAGCUCGCGGCCUAUCAGCUUGUUGGUGGGGUAAUGGCCUACCAAGGCGGCGACGGGUAGCCGGCCUGAGAGGGUGGACGGCCACAUUGGGACUGAGAUACGGCCCAGACCCCUACGGGAGGCAGCAGUGGGGAAUAUUGCACAAUGGGCGCAAGCCUGAUGCAGCGACGCCGCGUGGGGGAUGACGGCCUUCGGGUUGUAAACUCCUUUCGCUAGGGACGAAGCUUUUUGUGACGGUACCUAGAGAAGAAGCACCGGCUAACUACGUG